UGCCUGACCUCAUCACUCUUGACAUCGCCAUCCUUGAUGUCGCUAUCCUCGAUGUCACUUUUUGCCUAGGUUGCUUCAUCACUAUCAGUACCGAUGCCAACUACAUUGACCUUACUGCCAACACCUACUAUGACAUCACUAUCACUAGAUCAAACUAUCUUUAGAUCAACCAGAUGCAUCUCCAGAUCGGUCAUACACUGAUUAGAUCUGAUCAUCUUCAGAUCAGUCAGAUGUCGAUCAGAUCCGACCAUCUG
rnacentral:lncRNA from 1 species